GGCAACUUUAAUUUGGUUACAGAGGCCUAGAAAUUACAGAAAUUAAAGAAAUUAACGUGUUUACUUGGACGUUUAUAAGUUUAGAGAUGUCUAAGUGGGUAGCAUGUAAGCCUCACACGCAAAACCAUGCAGCGCGUUUUAGUCUGCAGCUGCAGCCGAGCGCUGCUGAGCAGGAGGAGGGAUCUGACUGGUGCACAUUUGGACGCAUGUGAACAGUGCAGUCCAUGAUGAUGAAGAUGAUGAUGAUGCUGGCUGCAGCUCUGCAGACUAUCGCGGCUGCGGAAUGAGCCGCGAGGAGCUGUCCAAGGUGCUGGAGAGCCGCGGUGUUUUAACCACCGCUCCCUCGCUGGUAAAGUCGAGACUAAACGCGUGAACUGACGUGGAUGCCGAGCCGCGCAACACGGCCCGAGUUAAUAAAUGGGAGCGCACACCCUCCGAGUGUUUGAGAGAUCAUGGAGAGAUUUUUCCUGCUCGUCCUCAGCGGCUGCCUCGGUGUCUCUCGAGUCACGGCGGAUAGCCUGUCGCCUCCCAUCAAUGUGACCAUCAGGGAAGUGAAAGCAAACUCUGCUGUGGUGUCAUGGGACAUCCCAGAGGGAGACCCCGUCAUUGGCUUUGCCAUCACACAGCAGAAGAAAGACGUGCGCAUGCUGCGGUUAAUCCAGGAAGUGAACACCACCACACGCUCCUGUGCAUUAUGGGACUUGGAAGAGGAGACAGAUUACAUUGUGCAUGUCCAGUCCAUCAGCAUGUUCGGGACGAGCCCGCUGAGCGAACCACUGCGCUUCCGAACCCCAAAGGAGGCCGAGACCCAGGGCACUAAGAACGAAGUGACCAUGGAGGAGGUGGGUCAGGCGACCCAGCUGAGGGCUGGAGAGCUCAUUAUCAUUGUGGUAGUACUCAUCAUGUGGGCAGGUGUGAUUGCCCUUUUCUGUCGCCAGUAUGACAUAAUCAAAGACAACGAGCCCAACAACAACAAGGACAAAGCCAAAAACUCCUCAGAGUGCAGCACUCCUGAACACCCGACGGGGGGGCUGCUGCGCAGUAAGGUAUAACCCACCCCUCUGCUCCUUGUCCUCCUCCUCCUCUCCCCGGGUGCCUCCCUUCUCAGCGACGCUGGCCAGUUCCCCAAAAACAACAACAACAACAACAGGUUGCCAUCUGUUAACAUCAUUGAGGUGUGACUGCCAAUAGCUCUUCUCUUUGCUCAAAAGACUUCAUGCAGACAACGAGCCCCUAAUGAGUCUUUCUGUAGUCAGAAUGACGCUGGGACCGAGGGACUCUGUUCUUCUUCAACACCGCUUCUGGUGAGGAGGUGAAGCUGCAGGGACUCCAGAGGAGGUGGAGGAAAGAGGCUGAGCUAAGCUUUCUAUGAGAGCAGAGAGACUGCAGGAAGAGCUCAGCUCUGAGUCUGUGCUCGCUGAUAGAACAUGGGCCCCUGAUCGUCAGGGUUAUGGGGAGCCUGCAGAAGAACCAACCCAAGGGACCAAAGCUGAUCCACAAAAGAGCCAGGAUCCAUUACCAGAUAAAUGAGUAUUUAACUUUCCUGGGUGGUAUUAUGAGCUUCUUUAACCCCUUAUUUCCUUCAUGGGAUUAACUACUACUUUUGAUGUUUUGGUAUCAGUUUGGGCCUUUUUAGUAAACCAACAUGCAGAGACUCUUUGCUGCGGUACGUUUGUUUCCCCCCCUCAGGGAAUCCAGACUCAACCUGGGUUUAAAAAAAAGACCCAUUUCCAGUCCAGCCUGCCGGCUUUAGAGGGAUCGGUCACCUAAAUCACUCGAAGUCAUUAACUUAUAUUUACAGCAUAGUUGGUUUAGGACUAGCCUGUGAUUCUCCUCAUCUUUUUUUAUUAUAGACUUCAGAAACGUAACAUUCCUCUCCCUGAACGAGCCCUUUAUUACCUACUGGUGUCUUUCUUUCUGGGUGUGAUGGAUUGUACAUCGUUCUCAUGAGGAGCAGAAGCCCCCCCCCCUCCUUAUGGAGUUCAUUCAUCUAAUUAAUUAACUACACAUGGGGCUGGACUCUACGGACGUCUGAGGAGAGAUUCCUUCAAUCAGCAAUAACAGUCUCUCAGUAGAAGCUAAAUAAGUCGGUUUCUCUGGAAAAAGGACUGUCAGCGAGUAAAAGAUGAACUAACUGGACGUUCGGUUUGCUGGAGUAAAGCUUGCGGAUCAUUUUUCAGUGAUCCCCUUAAAAAAAAAAAGCCUUUUUCAGC